rnacentral:rRNA from 1 species
ACCUACGGGGCGCAGCAGUGGGGGAUAUUGGACAAUGGGGGAAACCCUGAUCCAGCGAUGCCGCGUGAGGGAAGAAGGUUUUCGGAUUGUCCCCCUCUUUGUCCCUUGACGCUACUGCCUGUACCUGUCAAGAAAGCCACGGCUACCUACGUGCCAGCCGCCGCGUUCCUCCGUCUGUGUCGAGCGUUGUCCGGACUUCCUUGUUGUAAAGGUAUUGUAGGCGGGACUGCAAUU